rnacentral:rRNA from 1 species
UCAGCAGCCGCGGUAAUACGUAGGUGGCAAGCGUUGUCCGGAUUUACUGGGCGUAAAGAGCGCGCAGGCGGUCGAUUAAGUCGAAUGUGAAAGCCCCCGGCUCAACUGGGGAGGGUCAUUCGAUACUGGUCGACUUGAAGGCAGGAGAGAGAAGCAGAAUUCCCGGUGUAGUGGUGAAAUGCGUAGAUAUCGGGAGGAAUACCAGUGGCGAAGGCGGCUUCUUGGCCUGUUCUUGACGCUGAGGCGCGAAAGCUGGGGGAGCAAACGGGAUUAGAUACCCCGGUAGUCCCAGCCGUAAACGAUGGACACUAGGUGUUGGUGGUAUCAACCCCGCCAGUGCCGUAGCUAACGCAUUAAGUGUCCCGCCUGGGGAGUACGGCCGCAAGGCUAAAACUCAAAGGAAUUGACGGGGGCCCGCACA